AGUGAACGCUGGCGGUAGGCCUAACACAUGCAAGUCGAACGGCAGCACAGUAAGAGCUUGCUCUUACGGGUGGCGAGUGGCGGACGGGUGAGGAAUACAUCGGAAUCUACUUUUUCGUGGGGGAUAACGUAGGGAAACUUACGCUAAUACCGCAUACGACCUACGGGUGAAAGCAGGGGAUCUUCGGACCUUGCGCGAUUGAAUAAGCCGAUGUCGGAUUAGCUAGUUGGCGGGGUAAAGGCCCACCAAGGCGACGAUCCGUAGCUGGUCUGAGAGGAUGAUCAGCCACACUGGAACUGAGACACGGUCCAGACUCCUACGGGAAGCAGCAGUGGGGAAUAUUGGACGAUGGGCGAAAGGCUGAUCCAGCCAUACCGCGUGGGUGAAGAAGGCCUUCGGGUUGUAAAGCCCUUUUGUUGGGAAAGAAAAGCAGCAGGUUAAUACCCCGCUGUUCUGACGGUACCCAAAGAAUAAGCACCGGCUAACUUCGUG
rnacentral:rRNA from 1 species